CUGCAUCACGAGCGAGCUUUACAGUUUCAAAUACUUUUUCUAAAGUAAUAUUAUUCUUCAAAGCAAUUUCGUUUCCCUUGCAAAUUGUAGGACCAUCAGCGACGGCAUCAGAAAAAGGAAUACCAAGCUCAAUUAUUCCUGCUCCUCCAUUUUGCAAACCUUGCAUAAUUUUGAUAGUUUCAUCAACAUUAGGAAAACCGCAAGUGACAAAUGUCACUAAAACAUUUUUGUUUUCUUCUUUUGCUUUGAGAAACGUUUUUUUAAUCUGCUCUGUCAUUUUUCAUGAGUUUUGCGAUAGUCAAAAAAAUAUUGGCGGUGGAACAGAGAUUGGAGGGACCGACAGAAUAGAUCGUUAAGAUUUCAAACGAAGAUGACCAUAUUGAUAAGUCAAAUAAUUUUAUAGAUAACUAAAUUAAGUUUCAAAACAUUAUAAAAUCGUUAAGGCCUGCAAUUGUGGUGCAGAUUGAACCAAAUUUCGUAAGUUCAUGGGCAAAUUACCUUCAGGUGGAUGGAUGUUAAACUAAAAAGUUAAAUUUCGACUUCACCAUUAACUUCACUUGAAUGUAAGCUGUUUACUACUAAUAUAAAAGUAUAUGCCUAGUUGAUACUAAAUUUUGUUAUGAAUGAACGGAAUCAACCUGAGACAUCAAUGUCUAGAUUAAUCAAAUGUAAGUAAAUGAGAAUUGGGGUUGCUGACUUUCAUUGUUAUUAGAAAUAUAUACAGUUUUUACAGAACGGAAGCUGAUUGCACAGACAAUUCGCCUGUCGAAAAAUAAGAGUAUUGGCGUUACAUAGCAAUCCAUCAAAAAAGUUUGUCAUAUUUUGUUGCAUUAAAUAUCACCUUUUGGUACAUUUUUUAGAUUUCUCAGAAUAAUUUUAAAGAUCCUGUAACCUCAUUGAUUACGCUGACAGGCCCAGGACCAAUGCCCAAGACUGUAGCAGAACCAGAUGCAAUCUGGGUGCGACCAGCAUCGUGUAUAACCCUGGCACAUAGCCCUAGAGACAUUGCUUGGGCUUGCAGUAAUUCCAACGUCUCUUCGGUUUGAGCUUGAAGAGUAAUUUUAGCCUGUCCAGCAUUUUCCCAUAUACGUACCAAAUCGGGGUCCACCGCAGAUGCGAUUUUGUAGCAGGCUAAGGCUGCAUGCGCACAUUGAGCUGCUAUUUUUCCUUUGGUCAUGCCUAAAUCCGUCCUAACGACCAAUACCAUUUUAGUUUGUCCUUCCGCCAAUGCAAGCGCAGCCAAACUGCUGUUUCCUUUCAGCAUAUCUAAAAGUUCAGUUUCGGACUCGCUGUCUUCAUCAUUGCUAACAGAAACAGGACUUUCUUUUUCUGGGUUAGAUGCUUUGUUGGCAUUUUUGGAACUAUAACCUCUUGAUGCAUCUGCUACACUGUAUUUGCGUCCGAUCAUAAACCCCACUACAGCGCCGACAAGUACUGCUGCAGGAAAGGAGGAGAUCAUGAAAUUUACGAAAGGUACUUUCAUAACUACUAUGAAAUUAUAAUGUCAAAAUAAUUAUGUGUGCGAAACUUAAGAGCUAAGAAACAUAAUAUAUACCGGCAACAUCAUUAAAUUGAUGUAGUGAAGCGCAACAUACUCCUCUCAAAACUAUUAAUUUGUUUCACAAAAUUAAUAAUGAUGCAUUCAGAGAAAUUAAUAUUAAAUUUCAUUAAAAGAACGAAGAAGGAUAUCUCAUAUAUGUGUUUGAAAAGUUUGACUGACCAGAAGCCAACUCAUGGUACUUAUUUAAAUUUAGGCGUCUCCAAUCUUCUAUGCGCUUCUCCAUUUUAACAUGAUAACUCGAAGAAAGAAUGAGUAAUCAAGAGUAUACAAAAAAUUAUGUUUAGCGUUAACAUUGAAGUGAGACUUUCUAACAUCAAUUGUAGCGACGACGCUUAGGGGAACUAUCUCUUCCUCCAUAGUCUGAAGAGUGAGAGGAGCGAGUAGGACCACGACCAAAUCUUGACCCUCCUCCAGAAGAUUUUCGAAAUCCUCCUCGAUAGCCACCACGAAAUCCAGAGUCGCCACGAAAUCGGGAUCCCCGUUCCCGUCGCGGCCUUUCUUUUGUAUAAUGUCGCCCGCCAAGUCCACCACCUAACUUACGCGGUAGCCAUCCUUUUACAGUUCUACCUCUUUCGACAUCGACCACUAUCCGCCUUCCAUUUAGCAUCAAACCAGCUGAUGCUUUGUAAGCAACUUUUAAAUCUCGUUCCCUUUCAAACACAACAAAUGCAUAUCCCAUUGAUUUUCCUGUAACUUUAUUACGAACAACUCGUAUGCGCUCGAUAGGCCCAUAUCGAGUAAAUUCUCGUUCAAUAUCGCUUUCCUUGGUAUCAUAGCUUAACCGAGAAAGAAACAUAGUUUUAUAUGGAUCUCCAAUGACAUGGCGAUCGUGAUCAGGAUCCCAUACCUUAAUCAUGGACCGUAAUCUUUCUCGUUGCUGUUUUUGUUUCUCGUCUCUAAGACGCAAACGCUUUUCUUCCAAGCUUUCAGUCGGGUGAUAUUGUUGAUCGUGAGACUGCGCAUAUUUCAGAUAUUUUGCUAUGCCUGAAACGCGAGGUGUUGAACGUUUCUCAGGAGGCACAUCCAUAGGAGGCAGAUACCUCAAUGGGGGACGUGGAGCAAACAAUGCAAGUAGAGGAGCCGGUAAUUUUUCAGCCAUUCUAUAUGAAUUGUUUUUUUUUAUUUAGAAGUGUGUGGGUGC
rnacentral:lncRNA from 1 species